rnacentral:rRNA from 1 species
UACAGAGGUCUCGAGCGUUAGGCGGAAUCACUGGGCUUAAAGCGUGUGUAGGCGGAUCGUUAAGUGCCUUGUGAAAUCCCACGGCUCAACCGUGGAACUGCUUGGCAUACUGGCGGUCUUGAGCAACCUAGGGGCGAGCGGAACAAAUGGUGGAGCGGUGAAAUGCGUAGAUAUCAUUUGGAACGCCAAUGGUGAAAACAGCUCGCUGGGGGUUUGCUGACGCUGAGACACGAAGGCCAGGGGAGCAAACGGG